AUUGAACGCUGGCGGCAUGCCUUACACAUGCAAGUCGAACGGCAGCGCGGGGCAACCUGGCGGCGAGUGGCGAACGGGUGAGUAACAUAUCGGAACAUACCCUAGAGUGGGGGAUAACGUAGCGAAAGUUACGCUAAUACCGCAUACGCACUAAGGUGGAAAGUGGGGGAUCUUCGGACCUCAUGCUCAUGGAGUGGCCGAUAUCUGAUUAGCUAGUUGGUGAGGUAAAGGCUCACCAAGGCGACGAUCAGUAGCUGGUUUGAGAGAACGACCAGCCACACUGGAACUGAGACACGGUCCAGACUCCUACGGGAGGCAGCAGUGGGGAAUUUUGGGACAAUGGGGGGCAACCCUGAUCCAGCAAUGCCGCGUGAGUGAAGAAGGCCUCGGUUGU
rnacentral:rRNA from 1 species